rnacentral:sRNA from 1 species
UGCCCAUGUUCGGUUCGCUAUGAACAGCGC